GAUGAACGCUAGCGGCAGGCCUAACACAUGCAAGUCGAGGGGCAGCACAGAAACAGCAAUGUUUUGGUGGCGACCGGCGGACGGGUGCGUAACGCGUAUGCAACCUACCUUUAACAGAGGGAUAACGGAGAGAAAUUUCCACUAAUACCCCAUAACAUCGAUCAAGGCAUUUUGAUUGGUUGAACACUCUGGUGGUUAAAUAUGGGCAUGCGUUGUAUUAGGUAGUUGGUGAGGUAAUGGCUCACCAAGCCUACGAUACAUAGGGGGACUGAGAGGUUAGCCCCCAAACUGGUACUGAGACACGGACCAGACUCCUACGGGAGGCAGCAGUGAGGAAUAUUGGUCAAUGGGGGCAACCCUGAACCAGCCAUGCCGCGUGCAGGAAGACGGCUCUAUGAGUUGUAAACUGCUUUUAAACAGGGAUAAAGCACAGUAUGUAUACUGUGUUGAAGGUACUGUAAGAAUAAGGAUCGGCUAACUCCGUGCCAGCCGCCGCCGUAA
rnacentral:rRNA from 1 species